UACGGAGGGCGCAAGCGUUGUCCGGAAGUUAUUGGGCGUAAAGAGCUCGUAGGUGGUUUGUCGCGUUGUUCGUGAAACUCACAGCGUCAACUGUGGGCGUGCGGGCGGAUACGGGCAGACUAGAGUACUGCAGGGAGGACUGGAAUUCCUGGUGUAGCGGUGGAAUGCGCAGAGUAUCAGGAGGAACACCGGUGGCGAAGGCGGGUCUCGUGGGCCGAUACUGACGUGAGGAGCGAAAGCGUGGGGAGCGAACAGG
rnacentral:rRNA from 1 species